ensembl:lncRNA
CUUCCACCCACCGGGGUCAGCACAGGAGCCCGGCGUGUGCACAGAGGUCUGUGUUCGUGUACUCGGAUGUCCACAGGUGUCCCUGGAAGUUCACAGGUGUAUGGCCCCGUGCACUCGUGCUGCCCCGCGGGGGCCUUGCGGCCUGACGGCGGGUGAGAUGCCCGCGGCUGAGCGGAGCUGAGCGAGUCUGCUCGGCGACCCCGGGGCGCGGGAGUCAUCUGGCCCAGAGUAGGCCUCGCUCUGCUCCUUUCAGCGUCCCGCUUCUGCCUCUUGGGGUCUCCUCCCUUCCCAACCGUCUUGGGUUUCCCGUUUCCCCUAUCAGUUUCUCCGACCGGGGCAGGGUGUUCGGCUCCGUGUCCCCUUUCCAGCUGCUCUUACUAAUCUGGCGGCCGGAGAUCGGAGAGCCUGGCUGACUUUGCUAGGGGCCCUGGAGAAGGGGAACUGAGCGACGGGGCGAACUCCCGGGACCGAACUUAAAAGACGCUGCGGGCACGAUGCGAUAACUCUGUCACUCCAUUCCACCAAAACUCAAGACAUCUCCCCACCCUCAGUCCCGCUCCCCACCGGGGACAAGGGGAGGGGUCUCAUCUGCAACGCUAGAGGCCACCCAGCUGCGCCCACCUCACCGCCCACGGCAGCUCCGCUUUCCCCCGCGCCCCGCCACCCCAUCUCCUGCCCCGCGUCCCAGCCAGCCCCCGGCCACAGCACAGUCCGCUCCAGAUCCGCGCCAGGUUUCCUUCGCAUCGCUGGGGUCUCCGCCCCUCCGAGCGCCGCCGCCGGAGCCGAGCCGGAGCGUAGCUGCGGGAGCCACGCGCACCUCCCGAAUCCCGAAGCACUAGGAGCCCGAGCCCGCGAGCGGGUCUGAGCGGCGGUGCUGACCCCGCCUUCUAUCAGAACUCCGAGUCGGGACCGGACGGCGCGGCCGGGUCCCCGCGCCUCAUCGGAAUUUGACCCUCGGAGCUCCGAGGUGACCCCUCUCUGCGCUGUCGGCCUCGAUCGGCUUCUCAGCAUCCCGGCCCUGGCCCUGGCUCGGGAGAGGAUCAUGAAGCUGGAAGCCAGCAGUGAUGGAGCCACCUCAGAGGUUUCUAAGCCCAAAAAAGACAUGGAGCCAGAUGCAGAGCCGCUUCCACAGCUGGCUCUAGGAUCCCAACCACAGAGCAGUGCCGGCCAAGUGCAACAGAGGAACAGGCUUUCGAAUCCGAGACCCGGGUGCUGAGGAGAGCUCCUUGGGCAGGUCACGGGUCUGGCCUGGCGCCCCGGGGGAAUGACAACGGAGUGCUCAGUGUGUGAGAAGAGGCGAGUCCUUUGAACGGAGAGCCCCGUCGGAGAGCAAACCCCCCCACACACAAUGGCCUCGGUCGCAGAUCGAGAGGGAGUCGGUACACCGGAUCGACGCUGGGGAGACGCCGCUGGCGGAGGGACUGCGCAGUGGCGUCCCCGGAGCGCUGCAAGAGGGUGGCCCGGCUGCUAGAGCCCUUCUGUUCGCAGCUGCCUCGCACCGUCGGCCCUCCCCAGGGACGCAGAUGGGAGCCCAUGCGUGUGACUGUGGAAGUGAAGAUGCCAAGAGGCGCCAGGCUCUCAGCUCUCCCACCGCCCAGAGCCGUGCUUGCUCGUGCCCCACGCAGGGCAUCCUUUUGGUCCAAUUCAACUCGUAGGCGCUGCUAGGCCUCCGGCGUCUUCUCGCAGCUGCCUGGGGAGGCCGUGUGGAAGGCUGGCAGCGACCUGGCACGCCUUCUGCUGUCGCCCUCCUUGCAGCGUGACAGAAGAAACCAUCCCAGGAGUGGCCGCCCUACUGGCCGAGUGAGAGUAACCUGCGCCUCCUGGCGGCCAAAGGCCUGAAGUGGCGCAUGGACAGCCGCGCGCAACCGCGCGGUGCUCACGCUGUGCAUGCGCCCUUUCCACAUCCCGCACCGCGGCGACAGCACGUGGCGCUACCUCCGCAUCGAUGCCUUCAGCAGCGACGGUGCGCAGAGGCAGAGCUAGCUUCUGUAGCAUCUGCAGCUCCAGAGCCCAUUUCAGUCUCAACGUCGUGUGCCAACUCUUCCCUGCGCCCCAGUUGUGGUCACAACUGGUGGCUGACUUCCACCAGGCUGGCUGGGGGCUUGCACUGGUCAAGGGUUAUACUGAACAGUACUUGCUGGAGGCCGACAACUAAGGCCUCUCCAGUCGAGUUGGAGAGGAGAGAAGAUGCACUUUAGACCCACCUCCUUCCGCGGAUCCCCGCCCCCACCAAGCCCUGGCCCUACUGCUUCAAGUUCCGCCCCUUACCCCUGCUCUUGGUCCUCAGUCUGUUGUUCAGUCGCUGUCAUGUCUGACUCUUUGCGACCCCAUGGACUGCAGCUCGCCAGGCUUCCCUGUCCAUCACCAUCUCCCCAAGCUUGCUCAUAUUCAUGUCCAUCCAUUGAGUCGGUUUUGCCAUCCAACCAUCACGUCCUCUGUCGUCCCCUUCUCCUCCCACCUUCAAUCUUCCCAGAAUCAGGGUCUUUUCCAAUGAGUCGCCCCUGUGCAUCAGGUGGCCAAAGUAUUGGAGCUUCAGCUUCAGCAUCAGUCUUUCCAAUGAACACCCAGGACUGAUCUCCUUUAGAAUGGACUGGUUGGAUCUCCUUGCAGUCCAAGGGACUCUCAAGAGUCUUCUCCGACACCACAGUUCAAAGCAUCAAUUCUUCCUUGCUCUGACGCCUACACUUACCCGCGGUCUGCUCCUCCCUUCCCUAUCCCCCUUACCUCUCUGCCAUCUGGACUCUAGCGCCCCCAAACGCAGUUGCCCACACCCUGAUCUGAACCGCCGAGUUUGGGGGAGCCACUUACUGCUAUUGUCCCCCCAUCCCCUUUCCCGGCCAAAGAAUGAGUUCCUUCACAGCUUCAGAGCCUUUCCCAGUCGAUGCCCCGGCCUAGGAAUGUACUUUGCCCUUUCCGGCUUCUCCCUUCUGCCCCCUCGUGGAGGGAAGCUGUCAGAAGUACGCGCGACGCCCCCGCGCCCAGCCGACAGCUCAAUUCAUACUGUUUUCUUCCUCCCCAUCUUUCUCAGGCCCUCAGAGCUUGCCUCGCGCUCCUGCCUCGCCUAGUCUUAGCCUCCUGUGCCUGGACCUCUCUUAGUUCUCCAUUUCUCAUUGCCGUUCCCCAUGAACCCUUCCUCACCCUCUGUGUGUAAUAUGGAGAAAGACUCUGUAAAGGAAAUAAAUUUAUAAUGCUCCACCUCCAUCUGGCCCCUGCUUAUGCUCUGGCGAUGCACCGUUUUGAGGCUGCCUCCCCUGACUGGGGUUUCCCCCAGCUUUGCAGGAUUUUGCUGGCUCCCUUCCCUAUGCCACCAACCGGGAGCCUGAACCAGGCCUGUGAAUCAGAGAGUUCCGGGU